AGUCCCUGACUCUCUGUCUCUCUCUCUUUCCUCCGGGGAAUAAAAUCAAGAUUAAUUGAUCGGAGCAUCAUUUCAUCACUUCAUCUCUCUAAUCUCCACUUCCAUCUUCGAACAUGCCAUCAGUUUCUUGGUUUUCCAUUCCAAAAGCAAACAUAAACCCUAAUUUUUCUUUUUCACUCUCUGAAAUUGGAAGCAGAAUCAUGUCAAGCGUUCCUGAGGAGAUCCACCAUGACAUCCUCUUAAGAUUACCGGUAAAAUACUUAUUAUCCUGUAAGUGCGUUUGCAAGAAUUGGUAUGCCCUAAUUUCUUCCUCUGAUUUUGUUAAAACCCAACUGUUCAGAAAAAUAACCCUUUCUUCAUGCUCGUUAGUAUCAUCAGUGUCUGAAAUUGGCGAUGAGGCUAUUAGAUUGGAUUACCCAUUCAAAUCUGUAAUGAUGGUUAUAGGGCCUAUCUUUGGAACCCGGCUACAAAAGAAUAUAAAGAAAUACCACACAACCACCAAUUGAAUUUAUUAGAUCCAAUGUUAGUGGUCUUGGUUAUGAUCACAAGACUGAUGAUUACAAGUUGGUAGUAGGUGUAAAAGCUCAUGCAAAACAAGGAUACUCUAGUCCAAGUCUAUAGCUUAGCAUCAAAUUCAUGGAAAAUUGCGCAAAACUAUACCUCAUCAGUUUCGUCAUCCCCAAAUAUCUGGGGUGCUUGUUAAUGGAGACCUUCAUUGGUUAGGGAAGUGUCAAUCCAACUUUUCCUUGCUCUCUUUUGAUAUCAAUCACGAGACUUUUAAAGAAAUGCAAUUACCAGGAGAGAUUUUGGGGAUGAAUAACGAUCUGUGUCUGGGAGUGUUGCAAGGGUACCUUUGUGUACUUGUCAGCACAUAUCUUAAUCCUGUCAAGAUUCAUGUUGAAUUAUGGGAGAUGCGGGAUUAUGGAGUUCAAGAAUCUUGGACUAACUACUAAGCGUUAUGUCAUUGAUCACGAGAGUAUUAUCUGCGACCAUGAAUAUUUUAGGCUUGUUUCCUCUUUUAAGAAUGGCGAGAUUCUACUCUUGGGUCGCAAUCGUUUAUUUUUGUAUGAACCAAAACUUGGAAGUGCUAGAGAACUAAAAAUCGACAAUGUUUCAUUCUUCAAUUUUGGUAAUUGUUUUAAAGCUUAGUUUCUAUGAACUCUGGUACUUAUGCGGGGAAGAAUCAACAGAAACCCGAAGAAGAAGCUUUAUGAGUAGAAUGAUUGAUUAUGUUGCCGAUAAAGAAAAAAUGAUUGGUUAUGCUUAUUAUUUCAUGAUAUUGAUAUCUUUGUUUGCAUGGAUCCAUGUAUUGUUUUUUCAAGUGAAUUAUGAAAGUGGAUAUUGAAAUCAGAGAUGAUAAGAUUAGAAUGCUGCAUUUCGGUUCUUUUUUCUAAGUCUUAAACCUUUCUACAUCCCAAGAAUGAAAUUUUUGUAUUAUGUUCAAUCUAGAGCAAUAUAUCUUCCGAUACAGACUGUUUUUCAAUCCAUAUUAAAGUUGAUUCGUUUAAAUUUCUCCGUAAGUGUUAAAACUUAGACUCUGAACUCAUGUUUCUUUCUUUCGUGUUACUGGGGUUGGAUAGGUUGUACUAAGCAGUACAAUUUUCAUAAAACUCAAAUUUUUGAAUUUGUGGUUGAGGACAAAUUUUGGUUAUUUCUUAGAUCAACAUUUUGUUGUAUAUGGAUGUUUAGUUAUCUAAAGCUUCUUAGUAGAUACUCGUCAAUGUGCUAUUAUAUUUCUGUAUUUUCAUUAGUCAAGAAUUGCUUGUUGCACACAUGAAUUCGGUUUACACAACUUAGUUAGGACCAAACAGAACAACACACAUUCCUUUCAGUUCUAGUUAAAUCGCACAAUAUUUUCAGCACGUUAGCCAAUAUAUGUUAGCUCUGGCACAAUAUGAUCAAGCAAGUGAUUUUCAACAUGAGUAUCAAUAUGUAUUCGCUAAAUGUCUAGACUAUGUAUAUCUGAUGGCUAUGCAUUUAUUGAGACGUAGAAAUAGUUACACCUGAGCUGACUGUAGAAAAAGUUUCAUCUGACAGCUGUAACUCUUGUGGCAUUUUCCUUUCGGUGAAAUUUUGAGGGAAACCAAUCUUCUACUAGAAGCAGGCAUCAAUCGGCUAUAUGGGAAUUUAGAAUAAAAGUUAACUCAUCAGAAAGUUAAAUACUGUCAUUAAGACAAACCCAAAAUAAAAGAGGAAGUUGCAGAGUCCAGCAGGUCUCCUGUCAGAGUUUCAGGAAACAGACUGCUCAAGUCUGAACGUUAUUCAUGCCAAAGUGUUUUUACCAGCCUAUCGGAAAGUCAAGCUGGUUGGAUCUCCUUUGAUCUUCAAGUGCAUUUGUUUUUUGGCUUUUUUUGCCAGUUUUGGCAGAUAUGUACAACUUCCUUUUGCUCGCUAUUCUUUUAAGCUCCUUAAUGACAGUAUUAAAGUUUCACAAGAAGAUUUUUCGUACAAUCCUUGCAAAUGCACUCUAUCUUUACAUGGCUGCUGCGAGCACUUAAAUAGCUAGUUCCAGACUUCCAGUUGUUUGGGAAGUUGACGAGCCAAGAGGAUCAACAGCUUUUUGCACAUUGCAACCCACAACAAAAGCAGACACCCAUGUUUGACAGCAAGUUCAAGGCCAGUCAUUAUUCCAAGAAGUAAUAUUGUAUGCAAAGAAGGAUGUAAACUUGGCAAAACUUUCAUUGAUUCAAAGUUUUAAAUCGAAGGAAUAUGUUGCUGGGACCCAUUUCUAUUGGUUUUUGACUAAUGAUGGUAUUGAGUUUUGGAUCACUUAUUUGAAUCUACCAUCUGAGAUUGUGCCUAAUACUUUCUGCUCUAACUGGUACAGCACCACAGAGUUAUCGCCUAGGUGGUUUAGACAUGUUAAAAGUAGACAGGAAUGCGUUCAGUUAUGAAGAUGGAAUAUUUACGGGUGAAGUAACUCGUCAGGCACAUCAGUCUGUUACAGCUAAAUUUAAAUAUUUUGAGGACAUGGUGUUGGAGAAUGCAAAAGAACAUCGUGUUUUGCCCCGUACUGUUUUCAUUGGUGACUCAGUUAGUGACUUGUUGUGCCUGCUUACAGCUGAUAUUGGCAUUGUGAUUGGGUCAAACAGAAGCACAAUUAAUGUGGGAUAUCACUUUGGUAUUACAUUUCUACCUCUGUAUGCUGGUGUGUUCCAGGAACAGAAAAAAACGCUUCGAAACUGACAACCCUAUUGUCUGGACAAAAGUGGUCGAAAUUAAGUUCUGGAAUGCAGAAUUGGGUAUGUACAGAUGGUGCUCUACGGAGAGUUUUAUUGAGGGCCGUGCAUUGAAGUAGCGAAAACUGUCCGAGGGAUGAUGAAGAUUUAGCCGAAUAGUAUUUUUGUUCUUACAUCUGUUGUCUUUAGAUUUUGGUAUCUGUUCUACUUGCUUGUUUGAAAUGGUAACAUUGCAGGAGCAAGAUUUGAUACAGAUUUUUGUUUUUGACUUCGACUGUCUAAUAUUGUGCAUGUGUUUAAUUUUUGAUUUGAUACAGUUAUUUAUGGGU